GAAUCGUCAAAAUUAGUCGCAAUUGAUUGUUGUUCUAAUACCGCGGUAAUUUUCAUUGGCCGUGUGUAGUAUUUUUGAAACGGUCUAUUCAAAUGUCUGCGUUUCAUUGGGUAUGAUUUUAUUUUCCGCUGCACUGUGUGAAUGGGUCUUAACGGUUUUGAACACAUUAAACAUAUGAUUGAAUUAGAUACAGACAUUGCAAGUUUCUGUUGACAAACAAUAUAGAUGUUAUUUAAGUUUACAGUUUUUUUAUUAUUUCUCAGCGAUAGAGAUCAGGGCAAUAUUUGAACAUAAGCUUCAUAGGCUGUAGGCUGAAG